rnacentral:rRNA from 1 species
AGUGAACGCUGGCGGUAGGCCUAACACAUGCAAGUCGAACGGCAGCACAGUAAGAGCUUGCUCUUACGGGUGGCGAGUGGCGGACGGGUGAGGAAUACAUCGGAAUCUACUUUUUCGUGGGGGAUAACGUAGGGAAACUUACGCUAAUACCGCAUACGACCUACGGGUGAAAGCAGGGGAUCUUCGGACCUUGCGCGAUUGAAUGAGCCGAUGUCGGAUUAGCUAGUUGGCGGGGUAAAGGCCCACCAAGGCGACGAUCCGUAGCUGGUCUGAGAGGAUGAUCAGCCACACUGGAACUGGGCACCGGUCCAGACUCCUACGGGAGGCAGCAGUGGGGAAUAUUGGACAAUGGGCGCAAGCCUGAUCCAGCCAUACCGCGUGGGUGAAGAAGGCCUUCGGGUUGUAAAGCCCUUUUGUUGGGAAAGAAAAGCAGCAGGUUAAUACCCCGCUGUUCUGACGGUACCAAAAGAAUAAGCACCGGCUAACUUCGUG